UCCUACGGGAGGCAGCAGUGGGGAAUAUUGCACAAUGGGGGAAACCCUGAUGCAGCAACGCCGCGUGAGUGAUGAAGGUUUUCGGAUCGUAAAGCUCUGUCUUUGGGGAAGAUAAUGACGGUACCCAAGGAGGAAGCCACGGCUAACUACGUGCCAGCAGCCGCGGUAAUACGUAGGUGGCGAGCGUUAUCCGGAUUUACUGGGCGUAAAGGGAGCGUAGGCGGAUGAUUAAGUGGGAUGUGAAAUACCCGGGCUCAACUUGGGUGCUGCAUUCCAAACUGGUUAUCUAGAGUGCAGGAGAGGAGAGUGGAAUUCCUAGUGUAGCGGUGAAAUGCGUAGAGAUUAGGAAGAACACCAGUGGCGAAGGCGACUCUCUGGACUGUAACUGACGCUGAGGCUCGAAAGCGUGGGGAGCAAACAGGAUUAGAUACCCUGGUAGUCC
rnacentral:rRNA from 1 species